rnacentral:lncRNA from 1 species
CUGGGUUCUAGUUCCAGCAUCAAACCUAGUGUGGAUUCCCAAUGUCUUCCUCUCACCCAUACAUCCCAGCAUUACUUUGACUGCUUCCAGUCUCUUCAAGGCUCCUGCCCGUGAGUUCCGUGAUGGAGGGCUAUCCUUUGAGCUCAGUAAUUCAACAACAGGGGCUUGUUUUACAGUUUCAGGUCAGUGAGUGAAGUGCAUAGAGGAAGAGUGUUUUGUCCGUUUUGCUGGAGCCGUGCAUCCCCUGAGCAAGCUCUGUUACCAAACUUGCUGCAGAAGCUGGAGUUGAGGCUCCGUGAUUAUGCUAAUGACCAUGAGAAUCGAUGGUGCGAGGCAGGAUGUCAUCAGCGG